rnacentral:lncRNA from 1 species
AUGAAGACCACGUCCCAGCCUGCGCUCUGCCGGCGCGGACAAAGUGUGAAUCAAAGUUCCUGCAAACAACUCCUUCUUGUUGUUUUUAAGUAUCUCCGUUUUAAUUUUACGUUUAAAAAAGUCCGACUCUAUCCCUUUAGCCGAAGCGAGUGCAGCGCGAGGCCCUUUCAGAAAUCGCAAGGAACUAACUCUCAGCCAGGAAUUCUCCCAAGCGUGUUUCCAAGCAACUUGUUCUCCUCUUCCACAUCUGAACUCGGACUUUCCACACUUCUCCCGGGAGCCCGAGGCUUAGCUAGUUUUUUUGUUUUGUUUUUAGGAAUCCAGCAGCACCUCCGCGGUCCUCCCCUCCUAGAUCCUGGCUCUCACUAUGUGAUGGGAGGCGACCCAGAGGACAGUCCUAGGAAGGCGAAGGAGUCACCCGCACUAUCCUCAGCCCAGACGGGACUGGAAACUCUGCUCCCAAGAAAACGAGGAGGGCAGUGUUGGUGAACCUUUUUGAAAUCACAUGCCUAAACUGCAACAUCAAGCUGCCUGUGAGCUCUCUGCAUUACCUCAGACAGUGGAAAAAAAUUGUCAGAACAGAAAAUUUUGAAUUGCUUCUGAACAGGCUCCCCAAAGAAAUAAGAGAGAAGUCAAUUGAUUUGGAAUGUAAACGCAUGAAAUUGGCCAAUCUGGAAGAAGAGAAAUAAAAAGCAAUAAUAUUAAAGAAAGGAUUAUUUC